rfam:Picea glauca, whole genome shotgun sequence.
CGACCCCAACUCAAGUGAGAACAACCACUGAGUUUAAGCAUACAAUUAAGAGGAGGAAAAGAAACUUACAAGGAUUCCCCUAGUAUCGGCGAGCGAACCAAGAAGAGACCAGCAUGAAAAUUGGGUGGCAGUUUCACCUGAAUUGUAGUCUGUAGAAGCGUCCUUAGUGGCAGACUGGGCCCAAGUCCCCUAGAAGGGGGUGCCUGAGAUGGUGACAACCCCGUCGGGCUGAGAACCUGCCGCACCACAAGGUGUUGUCAAUGAGUCAGGUUGUUUGGGAAUGCAUCCCUAAUCGGGUGGUAAAUUUCAUCCAAGGCUAAAUACGGGUGAGAUACCGAUAGCGAACAAGUACCGCGAGGGAAAGAUGAAAAGGACUUUGAAAAGAGAGUUAAAGAGUGCUUGAAAUUUCUAGGAGGGAAGUGGAUGGAGGUCGACGAUGCGUCUCGGUCGGAUGAGAAAUGACUCAAGCUGGUCCGUCACUCGACUCGAGGUGCAAACUAUCAUAGGUCGUUGCAUCGACACAAGCAUGGGUGGAGUACUGCCUGUUGGUUUGCCGUUGUGGCGGUUGAGGAGCGGAGAAAUCAAGGGAUUACACCAACACUCAUUUAAAUUUAUUUUUAAUUGUUUGCCAAUAAUUCUUUUAGUUUGUUGAUAUUGAGCUCACACAUGAGGUAGUUUAUAUCUAUGAGGAUUUAGGAUCAAUUUUUCAAGCCUGAAUUUGAUGUGUAAAUAUUUUUGAAGGUAUUGGAUCCCUUAAUGACUCCUUAGUACUGUUGAAGAGUUGAAGAAGUUUUAAAUCACCAAGCAACCAUGUAGGAAACUCAAUGUUGCAUAGAAUAAGAGUUUAAUUUUUUUUAUGAGUUUAAAAGUUAGUAAUUGAACCUUCAUCAUUGAAGUAAGAAAAUAAAGGUGUCAAUUUUUUUGUAUAUUUGGAUAAUUUAGCCAAGAAAAGGAAACUUUCUAGGUUGGGAGGCCAAUGAGUCUCCAAACCUAGUGACUAAACCUUUUUGAGCCUUAAGGUAUACAAUUUACCCCCAAAAAGAAAAAUCACUUAUUUAGUGAGGUUACUCAUUGUCCAAACCAACCGAUUGAGGUUAUUGACCCUUUCACUCAACAAAUUUCCUCCUUGGUGUAAAUCACUCACUUGUCCUUAUUUGUCCUUAUGACCUCUCUUGGGCCUUGUGCACUAGUUGGGGUAUUUUAUAGGUUGAGGAGCCUCCCUUGGGUCCCCAAUCUUCCCUAAUCCAUUAGGGCUCACUAUUCAAUGCAUAAAAUAAAACCAAUUGUUGUGUAGUUGCAUAAAGUUGCGUAGGUUCAUGUUGAUUUAUAAAUCUGGAUAGUGAUCUGGUGGUGUGUAGGAAGAGGCCUAGCACCUUCAAAAUGAUCAUUCUCCUCCAACUAUCCAACUUUAAGGUUGCGUAAAUUGCAUAAAGUUGUGUAAGUUGCAAGUUGAGAAAUCAAGGGAUUCCACCAACACUCAUUUAAAUUUAUUUGAAUCGCUUGCCAAUACUUCUUUUAGUUUGUUGAUAUUGAGCUCGCACAUGAGGUAGUUUAUAUAUAUGAGGAUUUAGGAUCAUUGUUUCAAGCUUGAAUUUGAUGUGUAAAUAUUUAUGAAGGUAUUGGAUCCCUUCAUGACUCCUUAGUACUGUUGACGAGUUGAAGAAGUUUUGAAAUCACCAAGCAACCAUGUAGGAAACUCAAUGUUGCAUAGAAUAAGAGUUUAAUGUUUUUUUUGAGUAAUGGAGAAUUCACAUUGUAGAAUAUCCUUCAAUAUUUUUGUUGUUAUCUCUAUGAACCAUUUUGUCAAGAAAACAUCUAAGUCGUUGACUUGAAGGACUUGUUGAUUUCCCAAUCCAUCAUUUUUUCUCAUG